GACGAACGCUGGCGGCGUGCCUAAUACAUGCAAGUCGAACGAGAGCGACCGGUGCUUGCACUGGUCAAUCUAGUGGCGAACGGGUGAGUAACCCGUGGGUAACCUGCCCAUCAGAGGGGGAUAACAUCCGGAAACGGAUGCUAAAACCGCAUAGGUCUUCGAGCCGCAUGGCUUGAAGAGGAAAAGAGGCGCAAGCUUCUGCUGAUGGAUGGACCCGCGGUGCAUUAGCUAGUUGGUGAGGUAACGGCUCACCAAGGCCGUGAUGCAUAGCCGACCUGAGAGGGUGAUCGGCCACAUUGGGACUGAGACACGGCCCAAACUCCUACGGGAGGCAGCAGUAGGGAAUCUUCCGCAAUGGACGCAAGUCUGACGGAGCAACGCCGCGUGAGUGAAGAAGGUUUUCGGAUCGUAAAACUCUGUUGUUAGAGAAGAACAAGUGCUAGAGUAACUGUUAGCGCCUUGACGGUAUCUAACCAGAAAGCCACGGCUAACUACGUG
rnacentral:rRNA from 1 species